CCCGCACAAGCGGUGGAGUAUGUGGUUUAAUUCGAUGCAACGCGAAGAACCUUACCUGGUCUUGACAUCCCGGAGACCCUUAGGAAACUAGGGGGUGCUUCCAUCUGGAAGAAUCUGGAGACAGGUGCUGCAUGGCUGUCGUCAGCUCGUGUCGUGAGAUGUUGGGUUAAGUCCCGCAACGAGCGCAACCCUUGCCUUUAGUUGCCAGCAGUUCGGCUGGGCACUCUAAAGGGACUGCCGGUGUUAAACCGGAGGAAGGUGGGGAUGACGUCAAGUCCUCAUGGCCUUUAUGACCAGGGCUACACACGUACUACAAUGGCCGAUACAAAGGGCAGCGACACUGCGAGGUGAAGCCAAUCCCGUAAAAUCGGUCUCAGUCCGGAUUGGAGUCUGCAACUCGACUCCAUGAAGUUGGAAUCGCUAGUAAUCGUGGACCCAGCAUGCCACGGUGAAUACGUUCCCGGGCCUU
rnacentral:rRNA from 1 species